AGCAAUCGCCGCGGGAAUACAGAGGGUGCAAGCGUUAAUCGGAAUUACUGGGCGUAAAGCGCGCGUAGGUGGUUUGUUAAGUUGGAUGUGAAAGCCCCGGGCUCAACCUGGGAACUGCAUCCAAAACUGGCAAGCUAGAGUACGGUAGAGGGUGGUGGAAUUUCCUGUGUAGCGGUGAAAUGCGUAGGUAUAGGAAGGAACACCAGUGGCGAAGGCGACCACCUGGACUGAUACUGACACUGAGGUGCGAAAGCGUGGGGAGCAAACAGGAUUAGAUACCCCUGUAGUCCCUGUCUCUUAUAC
rnacentral:rRNA from 1 species